rnacentral:rRNA from 1 species
AUUGAACGCUGGCGGCAGGCCUAACACAUGCAAGUCGAACGAGGGGCGGACGGGAGAGUAAUGUAUGGGAAACUGCCUGAUGGAGGGGGAUAACUAAUGGAAACGGUAGCUAAUACCGCAUACCAUCAGAUGUGCCCAGAUGGGAUUAGCUUGUUGGUGGGGUAACGGAUCACCAAGGAGACGAUCACUAGCUGGUCGAAGAGGAUGACCCGCCACACUGGAACUGAGACACGGUCCAGACUCUUACGGGAGGCAGCAGUGUGGAAUAGUCCACAAUGGGCGCAAGCCUGAUGCAGCCAUGCCGCGUGUAUGAAGAAGGCCUGCGGGUUGUAAAGUACUUUCAGCGGGGAGGCGUUACCCGCAGAAGAAGCACCGGCUGACUCCGUGCCAGCAGCCGCGGUAAUUC